UUAAGUUCAGCGGGUGGUCCUACCUGAUUUGAGGUCAAGUUUAUCAAAUCCAACUCUUAUAGCAGCAGCAAACCCUCACCAGAUGCAGAUAUGUAUCACAUCUUAAUGGAGAGGUCGUUACCACUCAUGUAUUUCAGGGGAGCAGACCAAGCCUGUAACCCCCAAAUCCAAGCCACACCUCACGGUGUGGUUGAGACAUU
rnacentral:misc_RNA from 1 species